AUUGAACGCUGGCGGCAUGCUUUACACAUGCAAGUCGAACGGCAGCGCGGGCUUCGGCCUGGCGGCGAGUGGCGAACGGGUGAGUAAUAUAUCGGAACGUACCCAAGAGUGGGGGAUAACGUAGCGAAAGUUACGCUAAUACCGCAUACGAUCUAAGGAUGAAAGCAGGGGACCGCAAGGCCUUGUGCUCCUGGAGCGGCCGAUAUCUGAUUAGCUAGUUGGUGAGGUAAAGGCUCACCAAGGCAACGAUCAGUAGCUGGUCUGAGAGGACGACCAGCCACACUGGAACUGAGACACGGUCCAGACUCCUACGGGAGGCAGCAGUGGGGAAUUUUGGACAAUGGGGGCAACCCUGAUCCAGCAAUGCCGCGUGAGUGAAGAAGGCCUUCGGGUUGUAAAGCUCUUUUGUCAGGGAAGAAAAGGCUGUGGCUAAUAUCCACAGCUGCUGACGGUACCUGAAGAAUAAGCACCGGCUAACUACGUGCCAGCCGCCGCAGUAACAC
rnacentral:rRNA from 1 species